GCAUUAGAAGCUCAACGCCAGAGCGCCGGUCUUGUAAGUCGGAGGCUGGGGGUUAAAAUCCCCCCUUUUGCU
rnacentral:tRNA from 2 species